CACUACUUAGCUCAAUAGUUGUUGGAUGAAGAUAGGGCAAACCCUGUGGAGAGUGAGGCUUUGCCAUCGACUUGAGCUAUUUUGGGGGUAUACAACACCUGUUAGUGUUCAUGAAUUUUUUUCUUGUGAUAUAAAUCCGUGUGUCCAUGAAAGAUUCAGUUUUUAAAACAAGUGGUCUUCCAAGCUCCAGGGAGGGCUUCUACUAUUUAUAAGGAACAUAGCACACAAACAUGAACCCAGGGGCUAGACUUCAUUGUGUAAGGGAGCAGGUAGCCACAUCUGUAUUUACAUUGCCUAACAUUUUCCACUCUAAAAGAUUCUUGCAAUCUGUUUUUGAGAAGCUCUUACAUCACCAUUGUUUAAAAAAGAUAUUUGAAUUUUGGCAGGGGAAAAGCCUUCAGGCUAGAGAAGAAUCCAUUCUGUGUCCCAUGAAAUUCUGCUCACUUUUGCUGAGGUAUAUUAAACAUGGAAAAUCACCAUUUCCAUUCUCUUGCUCAUAUUCAUCAGGAAAACUUCAGCAGCCUGACAAAUUAAUAACUGAAUGUGAAUAUUCUAAUACUGGACCCACACUUCCACUGCAGCAGCAGCACAUGCUGUACUGGGAACACUGGAAGCAGACAGCUUCUCUGGGAUGGGGGUAGAGAGAGACUGGCCAAACUUCCCAAAAGUUCCUUCUAGAGCAAAUGAGGCAGUGAUUCUACUGACAAUAGCCUCAUUCAUUACACAAUCCUAAUUUAUUCCCUGAGCACCAUCCAUCCUUUGCAGUGAAUGAGGCAGGGGUCCUGUGGAAAAAUAAGUAUAUAAUAAUGUAAUUAACAAGGGAGCCGAAAUAAAGUUUCACAGGCAACCUUAGUACUAGCAUUUCUGCUUGACUUUGCAGCCUAAUCCAGUUGUUUAGAUAGUUUUUGUAUGUAAUGCUGUAGAUGGAAUGGAUGUAUUUUUCCAUUAGAUUUUUUUCCCCUCUGCCCCCUGUUAUUAUGUUAGUUUCAUUUGAUUGUCUCCUUUUCUUCCCUGCUUUGCUUCUCAUUAGUUUUGUGUGUUUUUUUUAAACUCUCUCUCCCUGGUGGAACAAUAACAUACAAGACAAACUUUCAAAACCAAGAUAUCAGAGCAGUUUCAAAAUGAGUUUCUUACCCCAUCCCUGCCUACCAGCGUUAGGUCUGCAGCCAGCCAGCCUAGAGUAAGGUGGGGUGAGUUGGACCCUCUCUGAUUUAAGGAUCAGCCUGUUUUGUGUGUCUGUUUUGGGUUCUUGUGUAUUAUCAUUUUGAAUUCUAAGAAAUAAAGUAGUGUUACAUUGCAACUUUCCAGCAAGAGUAGUUUUUUUAAUCUAACUUCUCUGUGUGUACAUUGAGAACAUAAAAUUAAUAUGACCUCAUAACACUGCAGAAGAUUGUACAAAAACAAAUAAUAGAAUGUGCCCUACACACAAAAGGGAGGGUGCCUGGUCCCCUAUAUUGACUACAACAGAAUAUUUUCUUUUCUGUGAAAUCCAUUUUGACUGCCAUGUGUUUGCAUUUAUUUUCUUUCCAGUUCCAUAGAUUACUCAUCCAUAACUUAGCAGCACGACAGAACAUAUUGAGAGCAUGCUUUCUGCUCCACAAGGAAUUUCCUUUCUCCUGUUUCCUAGACUCCAUUUUACCAUGUUUUCUGAUAGUUCCACUGUGAAGAAUUCUGUCUGAUGGGAUGAAGACAUACAAACCAACAGUAUUCCAGACAUCCCAUUGGGACACAAUUUCUUUGCAUACUUUGACCAUGGACAAGAGUUACAAGUUGCUGACCCAGCGUGAAAGGCAAGUCCCAGAAUCGAACCCAGAUCUUUCUCGUGGCAGCACAAAACUGCCAUAUGGCUACUUGUCCUCUACUCAAUUCAUUUUGAAAAAGUCGACCUGGGAAAAAUCUCUCUCUGGAGUCAGAGUUUUGGCUGGAGUGCAUGUAAAAGUCAGAGGAGAAAGCAUGUCAGUUGCUGUUGGACUCUGUACACAGCACUUCUGAUAGGAUUCUCAAACUUCUGUCAUGCCUCAAAUGUUAUACUGUGCAAGGAUGUGCUUACACAUAAUUUAGUAAUUGAAAUGGCAUGUUUACUGUUCUAUUUCAUGCUUGAUUGUUUUUUUUAAACACCUUUACUCAUGCUGUUAAAAGUGGGAUUAUAAUUAAAAUGUUCUGUUGAACACCUUGUUCAGUUCAACGAAAGGCACAAUAGAACUAGAAAUACUUGUUCUUAUUGACUAUAGGGUGACAGCAGCCUGGUAAAUCUCAUAGGGUCAGUGUCUCCUCUGCCAAACCAUCCAAAAGGAAAGGGGUAAACAAAACCUGUUUGGGAGAGAGAGCCUCUUUCCUCAUGAGGAGGAGAUAAUAAGUAGGGCUAAUUUCCCUGGACACAGCAACCACUCAACUAUGAAACUACUCAUGGGCUGACGAGGUUUGUUUAAUGAUUUGUAGAUUCAAUAGAGCGAGUUUUAAAACUGGUAAUAAUACUUGUAUAACACUUUUUAUCCGCGGAUUUCAAAGCACUUUACAAUUAUUAGUGAAUUAAACCUCAUUGGGCAGGUUAGUAUUACUAUAAUACCCCAUUUUAUAGAUGUUUAAAUUAAGGCACAGAGAGACCAAGUGAUUUACCCAAAACUUCAUGACAAAUUACUGGCAAAACUCAGAAUGGAGCCUAGGAUUCUUGAGCCCCAGUCCAUUGUUCUGACCAUUAGGCAACAUUUCCUUGCUUUGUCACUGUGAAAGGCAGAAUCAAAGGAAAUGUUUUCUUGAUCACCGUUGCCAUUUCUUUAUGGUGCACAAAAAUAUCCCCAGAGCUGGCUGUAUGAACCCAAAGCUUGAUUUUUAUUUUAGAAGCACCUUGAAUCAGGUCUUCACCCUUUUUCCUUAUAUUGCACAUGAGCCUUGAGGCUCCUGGGUUGAAGAGCCCUCUCAGUACCAGACAGAGGGCCUUCAAAACUCAUUCCAGAAUGUAUAAUAUUUCCUGUACAUCAGUGGGCAUCUCCAGUACAUAAGCAGCAAGACUUAUGGGAAAAAUGCAUGGUACUUAUGAAGCAGGUAAGUAGACACAGAAAGAUGUGACUAGCAUAUUGUGGAAGGGACCACUCUUGCAUGCCCCCGUUGACUAGAGUUCUGCAUGGAGAUGGCUUGCAUGGUUUUGUCUUAAAUGAAAAGAAUAAUACCAGCAGAGCAGAGAGAAAAAGGAAGCGACAGACUAGGAGGCUGUCAUUCUGGGAUAACAGAGAGAGGAAGGUAAGUUGGGUAGCCUAGUUCCAUUCCAGGACCCAGCCUGAGGGGAGACAGAUUGUUAAUAGCAUAAGAUGCUCAAAAAUAAAUCUGGGUAGAGGUCAUGGAGUGGUUGUAGAUGAAAUAAGGCGUCAAAAAAAGAGGUGGAUAAGGACAAACUUAUUUUUAAAGACCUGCAAAUGUGGAUAUCUACUUUAUAUCUGCAGAUGUGGAAGCUGAUAUCCGUGGACCAUUUUUGCAGAUCAUGGAUGGAUGCGGAUCCAAAUUUUAUAUCUAAAGCCCUGCAAGUCUGCGGAUAUCCAUGGAUCAUUUUUGCCGACCGCGGAUCAGAUGUGGAUACAAAUUUUGGAUCCAUGUAGGGCUCUACUUAUUUUAUUAAGAUGAUCAGAAACUUAAAGAAGUUGCCCAGUUUCAUCCAGUGGGAUUUCAACCAACUUUAGUUUAUUUUAACGUCUCAUUAUAUGUACAGGUGCAAAUCUCCAGACACACAUGCACACUGCAUUUAUUUCAAUGUGUAAUCGUUUAAAUACAUAUCGAUGUGACACUGCAUGCAUGCAGAGGCACCAACUUUCUUAUGU